AUUGAACGCUGGCGGCAUGCUUUACACAUGCAAGUCGAACGGCAGCGCGGGCUUCGGCCUGGCGGCGAGUGGCGAACGGGUGAGUAAUACAUCGGAACGUUCCCAGUAGUGGGGGAUAGCUCGGCGAAAGCCGGAUUAAUACCGCAUACGACCUGAGGGUGAAAGCGGGGGAUCUUCGGACCUCGCGCUAUUGGAGCGGCCGAUGGCAGAUUAGCUAGUUGGUGGGGUAAAGGCCUACCAAGGCGACGAUCUGUAGCUGGUCUGAGAGGACGACCAGCCACACUGGGACUGAGAAACGGCACAGACUCCUACGGGAGGCAGCAGUGGGGAAUUUUGGACAAUGGGCGAAAGCCUGAUCCAGCAAUGCCGCGUGUGUGAUGAAGGCCUUCGGGUUGUAAAGCACUUUUGGCGGGAACGAAAAGGACUGUGCCAAUACCACGGUUCGAUGACGGUACCCGCAGAAUAAGCACCGGCUAACUACGUG
rnacentral:rRNA from 1 species